rnacentral:rRNA from 1 species
GAUGAACGCUGGCGGCGUGCCUAAUACAUGCAAGUCGAGCGAACAGACGAGGAGCUUGCUCCUCUGACGUUAGCGGCGGACGGGUGAGUAACACGUGGAUAACCUACCUAUAAGACUGGGAUAACUUCGGGAAACCGGAGCUAAUACCGGAUAAUAUAUUGAACCGCAUGGUUCAAUAGUGAAAGACGGUUUUGCUGUCACUUAUAGAUGGAUCCGCGCCGCAUUAGCUAGUUGGUAAGGUAACGGCUUACCAAGGCAACGAUGCGUAGCCGACCUGAGAGGGGGAUCGCCCACACUGGAACUGAGACACGGUCCAGACUCCUAGGGGAGGCAGCAGUAGGAAAUCUUCCGAAAGGGGCGAAAGCCUGACGGAGCAACGCCGCGUGAGUGAUGAAGGUCUUCGGAUCGUAAAACUCUGUUAUUAGGGAAGAACAAAUGUGUAAGUAACUAUGCACGUCUUGACGGUACCUAAUCAGAAAGCCACGGCUAACUACG